rnacentral:rRNA from 1 species
CCUACGGGGGGCAGCAGUGGGGAAUAUUGGACAAUGGGCGAAAGCCUGAUCCAGCCAUGCCGCGUGUGUGAAGAAGGCCUUCGGGUUGUAAAGCACUUUCAGUGGGGAAGAAAGCCUUGGGGCUAAUACCCUCGAGGAAGGACAUCACCCACAGAAGAAGCACCGGCUAACUCCGUGCCAGCAGCCGCGGUAAUACGGAGGGUGCGAGCGUUAAUCGGAAUUACUGGGCGUAAAGCGCGCGUAGGCGGUCUGAUAAGCCGGUUGUGAAAGCCCCGGGCUCAACCUGGGAACGGCAUCCGGAACUGGCAGGCUAGAGUGUAGGAGAGGAGGGUAGAAUUCCCGGUGUAGCGGUGAAAUGCGUAGAGAUCUGGAGGAAUACCAGUGGCGAAGGCGGCCCUCUGGACUGACACUGACGCUGAGGUGCGAAAGCGUGGGUAGCAAACAGGAUUAGAUACCCGGGUAGUC